UACAUAUCUGUGCACUACCGAUGCUGAUGGGUGUGUCGUAACGGCAUUAGUCUUCAUCACUGCCACGGACAGCAACAUCAUCGAGCGAGUCACUCAUCUACUCUUCCGUGUCCCACUCCCAUCCACCCCUCUCUCCACACAACGCUCGGUUUGAUCGCGUGCACGCCGUCCAUCUGUGCGUGACGGCAUAACCCAACGCUUUCCUGAGCACUGCAGCGCUGCUGCUGCUGCUGCGAAAAGGCGAAGAGCGGAAUGCGUAGUGGACUUGGCCGUGUUCGUUGUUGUGCUUUUUCUGUCCCCUCUAUCGAGGAAGGGCCGCGCGCGUGUUCCAUUUGUGACCUAAUCGCCUCUCCACCCACCACGCUUCUUCCCUCCCUGUCUGCGUCACUUCCAUCCGUCUUCUGUCUGCCUGUCAGCCUCUGUCUGUGUAGCACUCGGCCACCCCUCUCUCCCUGACGAGGAAGAGAGGUCGAAUUCACGCAUCGAAAGUGAGGCGACACAUGACGAUGGUCGACUCGGGGCGCCAGCGCAACCCCGGCGUGCUGCAGGAUGACGGUGAGAACAAGCUGCACCAGUACUGGUCACAGUUCAAGUACAAAGCACUUAGCCUCGUGUCCGAUGAACCGCCGCCUGACACGGCGCUCCUGGCGGAGAUGCCGCCAGAGCAAGGAUACAUGGAGGGGCUCUCUGAGAUGACAGACCUUACCUACACGCAGCGCAUCACUGGGUUCUUCAUGAUGAUGGGCAUGGGCAUCCUCUUCAUCCUCUUGGGCAUGGCGAUGUGGUUUCGGCCGAAGAAGUUCAGCUUCUUCAUGACAUGCGGAAACAUCUUCUGUAUGUGCUCCACCAUGUUCCUCGCCGGGUGCGCGCAGCAGCUGCGCACCAUGUUCGAGGCGAACCGGUUCGAAGCGGCGUGUCUGUAUGUCAUCUCCAUUGUGAUGACGUUGCUAAGCGCGCUGUGGUUCCAGUCCAAACUGCUGUGUGUGUUCUUCGCACUCGUGCAGUUGGCGUGCAUCUUGUGGUACGCGCUUAGUUACAUCCCCUACGCGCGUCAGACGCUGAAGAUUGCACUCUCCUACGCUUCCAUGAUAUUCAGCCCGGUGGUAAGUGCCAUUGCAAAGGGCGUCAACAGUUGCAUCGGAGUCAUUCUCGGCUGAGCUGCUUUUCGAAGAAAUUGAAAAGAGGAACAGAAGGAGAAAAGGGAGGAGGGAAGCUGAGACAGCGCGAGAGCGAAGACAGUACUAAUUCACACACGCGCAGACACCGGCCCCGAGCAGCCCCGCUUCCUCCCCCACCCCACCCCCCCCUUUGCUUCCCUCUCUCCAGCCCUGCGGUGUGCUACUGAUCGUAAGCUGUUGAGAGGCUCCGUUUAUACGUUUGCGCUGUGUGGACGGCUGCAUCUGAUGCUCUGCCCGUUGCGCGUACGUUGGCUGCGGCCGCGUUUUCUGCGCCUCGUCUCUCUUGCUCUCUCCCUCAUCCCUAUUGCCUUUGUGCGCGCGCUGUGCAACUCCGCCGAGCCAAGAUGAGGCGGGUCGCAGACGUGCGCGUGUACGUGCUUACGGGUGUGCGUAUAUAUAUAUAUAUAUAUAUAUAUAUAUAUAUAUAUAUAUGUGUGUGUGUGUGUGCGUGUGUGCGUAUAUGUGUGGACGUAUAUGUGUAUGUACUCCUCCUCGCAUACGGGCAAACACGGUUGCGCUUCCCUGUCGUUUGUCGACGGCCACUUGCCUAUGCGGGGCUCCCUCGCGGCCUACGAGCGCGAUGACGGGUGCGCACGCACUUGCUGUCCCCACGCCCUUUACCUCCCUCUCCCUCGCCACUCAUUCACCCGCACAG
rnacentral:misc_RNA from 1 species